GACGAACGCUGGCGGCGUGCCUAAUACAUGCAAGUCGAGCGGAGAAUUGGGAGCUUGCUCCCAAUUCUUAGCGGCGGACGGGUGAGUAACACGUGGGCAACCUGCCCUGCAGACUGGGAUAACUCCGGGAAACCGGAGCUAAUACCGGGUAAUACAUMGCACCGCAUGGUGCAAYGUUGAAAGUUGGCUUUCGAGCUAACACUGCAGGAUGGGCCCGCGGCGCAUUAGCUAGUUGGUAAGGUAAUGGCUUACCAAGGCGACGAUGCGUAGCCGACCUGAGAGGGUGAUCGGCCACACUGGGACUGAGACACGGCCCAGACUCCUACGGGAGGCAGCAGUAGGGAAUCUUCCGCAAUGGACGAAAGUCUGACGGAGCAACGCCGCGUGAGUGACGAAGGCCUUCGGGUCGUAAAGCUCUGUUGUUAGGGAAGAACAAGUACCGUUCGAAUAGGGCGGUGCCUUGACGGUACCUAACCAGAAAGCCACGGCUAACUACGUGCCAGCAGCCGCGGUAAUACGUAGGUGGCAAGCGUUGUCCGGAAUUAUUGGGCGUAAAGCGCGCGCAGGCGGUCUUUUAAGUCUGAUGUGAAAGCCCACGGCUCAACCGUGGAGGGUCAUUGGAAACUGGAGGACUUGAGUGCAGAAGAGGAGAGUGGAAUUCCACGUGUAGCGGUGAAAUGCGUAGAUAUGUGGAGGAACACCAGUGGCGAAGGCGGCUCUCUGGUCUGUAACUGACGCUGAGGCGCGAAAGCGUGGGGAGCAAACAGGAUUAGAUACCCUGGUAGUCCACGCCGUAAACGAUGAGUGCUAGGUGUUGGGGGGUUCCACCCUCAGUGCUGAAGUUAACACAUUAAGCACUCCGCCUGGGGAGUACGACCGCAAGGUUGAAACUCAAAGGAAUUGACGGGGGCCCGCACAAGCAGUGGAGCAUGUGGUUUAAUUCGAAGCAACGCGAAGAACCUUACCAGGUCUUGACAUCCUCUGACAAUCCUGGAGACAGGACGUUCCCCUUCGGGGGACAGAGUGACAGGUGGUGCAUGGUUGUCGUCAGCUCGUGUCGUGAGAUGUUGGGUUAAGUCCCGCAACGAGCGCAACCCUUGAUCUUAGUUGCCAGCAUUCAGUUGGGCACUCUAAGGUGACUGCCGGUGACAAACCGGAAGAAGGUGGGGAUGACGUCAAAUCAUCAUGCCCCUUAUGACCUGGGCUACACACGUGCUACAAUG
rnacentral:rRNA from 1 species